UUACGGCCACAUUACGUCGAAAUACGGGUUCCCGUACGAUCAUCGAAGCUAAGCAACGUCGUGCCUAGUCAUUACCUCGAUGGGUGACAGCUUGAGAAUAUCAUGUG